rnacentral:rRNA from 1 species
GAUGAACGCUGGCGGCGUGCCUAAUACAUGCAAGUCGAGCGAACGGACGAGAAGCUUGCUUCUCUGAUGUUAGCGGCGGACGGGUGAGUAACACGUGGAUAACCUACCUAUAAGACUGGGAUAACUUCGGGAAACCGGAGCUAAUACCGCAUAAUAUUUUGAACCGCAUGGUUCAAAAGUAAAAGACGGUCUUGCUGUCACUUAUAGAUGGAUCCGCGCUGCAUUAGCUAGUUGGUAAGGUAACGGCUUACCAAGGCAACGAUGCAUAGCCGACCUGAGAGGGUGAUCGGCCACACUGGAACUGAGACACGGUCCAGACUCCUACGGGAGGCAGCAGUAGGGAAUCUUCCGCAAUGGGCGAAAGCCUGACGGAGCAACGCCGCGUGAGUGAUGAAGGUCUUCGGAUCGUAAAACUCUGUUAUUAGGGAAGAACAUAUGUGUAAGUAACUGUGCACAUCUUGACGGUACCUAAUCAGAAAGCCACGGCUAACUACGUG